AUGAUGCUUCUGCUUCUCCCUGCUAUCACCAUGGAUUGUAACCAGGAGUGCAUCUUUCUCCUGAGCCUCACUCCCGUGCGCUGUGAAACCCCUGGUGGCUGGGUGAUGGAGAGCUGCAUGAAGAACAUCCUCUGUGUUGGAGCAGCUGGGUGCCUCAGCUUUCCACUGCAACUCCAUACAAGACAUCCCUUGACUCUGUUCACCCCACACCCCAAACACUGUGUCCUUCGGGUAAGCUGCAGCUGUGGGUUUGACCCUCAGCCCUGCUCUGUCUGUUCAGCUCUCCAGCUUAGUGACAGGACAGCAAGGGAACAUACUGCCUGUCUGCAGCUCCACGAAGGUCACCGAAAGGCCAGGAGUCUUGGAGAGGAUGGGGACUGCUCUUUGACAGGUUAUCCUGCUUGUUGCUGCUAUUCUUCACACAUGGCCAAAGGCAGCGGCAAUCUGCCUUCCUCUCUGCUGCUCCCAGAAAGGUGGAGGAGCUAUUUGGAGAAGUCCCCAUUUUGCCAUGGGGUUGGGGUGCAGGGGAGCUGCAGUGAUCUUGGCCAGGACUUGCCUGCUGUGGCCCAUCCCAAGGGGAAGGCAGUGGUGCCCAGGGGAUGGGCAGGAAAAUUGCUCUGCAUCUCCGCAAUCACUUGGAAUGAGAGGGAGAGGAAUGCAAGGGGACUGCAGCCUCGGCAGAAUGCAUUUGGGAUGAAGGAGCAAAGAAGAGUGCUGAGUAUCUCCCAGGGGUGCUUUGAAGGAGCAGUGCCCCUUUGGGAAUGGGAUUCCAGUCCUCAACAUGAGGAACAAACAUCUCUCUCCCACGAGGCUCCUGAAGUCCCAUCUCUUCGUCUGCACUCCUCAUGUCCAUACAGGGCUGUAUGGCAUCUCUGCACACACGUAUGUGUAUGGAUGGCCCCAUGUGCUGCUGAUUGGAGCAUCCCAAAAACUGGCCCAGGUCUUUCAGUUCCUCCCCGGUGUCAUUUUGGGGUGGGAGCAGAGGGAGGCCGGAUGUGUGGUAGCCCUGCCCUCACACCCUAUAAAACGGGUCUGUCUCUGGUUUGUAUCUAAAGGAGAAAAAAAAAGAGAAGGGGAAAGAGGGGGGGGAAAGCCUCUCCGAAAUGAGAUUCCUGAAAUGACAGUGUGCUGACAUGCACUGGAGUGAUUUUGGCAAGAAAUGGGAAAGCUAAGUAGGAGCUGGGGCUCGCAGGCACCAUGGGGGCUGGUGGGGUGUGGGGCUGCUGCUCCCCUUCCUUGUGUGCCCUGCUGGCACCACUGCUGUGCUCCACCCUAGGCAGACAGCGGACUCUGCACCUCGGGUUGGUGUUCGCCUGUUUGUUUCUUGCUUCUGUGCUGCUGCUGUUCCCCCCAUCCCUGGAUAAGCCAUCAGAGAGGGGGUGGGGAGCAGCUUCAGCUCCUCUAUGGGAAGACCUUUGGGUUGCAGUGUUCAGCGCAGGAUGGAGCAGGGUGGCUGAUGCACCAAGUCCUGGUGUGUCAGAGAAGCACCAAACCCACAACAGUACAGUGGGGCCGCAUCCCGGCGGUGCAGGGGGGAUCACAGGCACAUUUUCAAGCAUCUGGCGCUUGAAUAUUUAUAAAGUAGAAUUGCAAACGGAGCUGCUGCAAUCAGAGGAAACCCAACGUGGUGCUUGCAGGCACUAAAGUACUCAGGAACCGGCUCCUCCCCGGGGGAGGCAACACAAACCCAUCAGGCAGCUCGCAGUCGUGCUGGGGGGACACGGGCACAGGUUUAUUUCUUCGGUCUCUGUUUAUUUAUUUGGCUUUAUUUUAAUUAUUUUUAAUAGUUUCUCAGAGUGCGCCCUGUGGCUUUUUUUUUUUUUUUUUUCCUUUUUCUUAUUUAUGGGCUUGAGGAAAGCCGGAGCAGAAGGGAAAUGCUAUCAGCCAAGCUGGGAUGUCUACCACAUGCGUGCGUGCAGGUCCCCCCCACCCGUCACCACCUACAUGCUCUGAGGAAGCCAAGAACGGGGCUUUCUCCAGGCAGCAGCGCCUUGCCUGUAUUCCUGCACAGAAGGAGAGCUGUAAGGACCCCCACAGGACCACGGGCAGUCUGCAGUGUGUCCACGCUCAGCUGCUGGUGCUGCUCCAGGGGGAAAUCUGGGGAAGUGGAGCCAUGACUUUGCACUGCUUGCAACCACUCCGAAAUAAGGCAAUAUGCGGAGUUUCAUACAGACCAUCGUACCAGCCAUAUGGGAAACAUUGCAGGCCUGCAGGGUGGGAUGCAUCCCCGCUGAGUGCAAUGGGGCACAGCAGCCCCUCCCGGCACAUCUCUCCCCUGCUUUCCAUCCAAACAAGCUGUCAGAGCUCUCAGCAGCUGCCCCAGCACGGGGCUGGUGGUGCUCAGGCAGACAUGACAGAAACGUGUCCCACCUUCCUGGGGCCGCGUGGGACAGGGCCACCCCAUCCUCAGCACCAGGUUCACAGCCACGCAGGGAGAUAUGUCCCAAACAACUGAGGUAAUGGGCACAGAUUCAGUGCCCCGGACUGGGGUGGCACCAGCCCAAGUUGGUACUGCUGAGCUCCCCACUUUUACCCACACUCCUUUGUCCCAGUCAAAAGCCAGUGUCCUCCCAGCCUCCAUGCAAAACCCUAUUGGGCUGACAGAGAAAACCCUUGGGCAAGGGGCUCUUCUUCAAGGAGAAGAGCAUUCCCAACCCCUCUGGUUGCCUUGAGUUGGAUGGGUGGAAGGAAAAGCAAGAAGUGGGAGUGCUGGUGCUGACAGAGAGAUGCCCACAGUUACCUCUGAUGGGGGAGGAUGUAUAUCCUCUUGCUCCCUCCAGACUGGCCCCCCACUAACCCUAACCCUAAUAUUUUCCUGCCAAUUCCUCCUGCUUUGGUUUUGCCUCAGUGGGGUCUGAGAAGCUGCCAGCAAAACACCUGAUUUUGGUAUGCCAGACAAAAACAGGAGCCAGGGAAAAACGUGGGGUGAGCCAACAGUGUGAUACCUGUCUGCACAUCCCUUUCAUGUCUGGAGGAGAGUGGGGAAUGCCAGGACUCCUGCUGUCCUGCAGAGCAGGCACCAAACCUGAGGCUGACUUCUGCUGGGGAGCACGGGAGAGAAAAAAGCCAAAGAGGAAAGAGUGGGGGUCACAGCAGAGAGGUGUGCUGCCCUGGGCUGUUCUGGCUGCAUCCCCUGCCCUCACUGCUGCAUUCCCCCAGUCUUCUUCCCCAUUGCAGAGGGAAUCUGUCUGAGCAGCCUGGUCUGACAUCAUCCCCCCCAAAAAACUGAGCAUCAACAUGUGCAGCAGGAGCAGUGCAAACACAACCCAUCUGGUGCAGCCUUCGCAUGGAGCCCCAGCCCACAACUCCAUCCAUCCUCGUGGGGUGGGUGACCCACACCAGUUCUUACGGAGCAGGCAGGACUGGGUACAUCACCAGGGCUGGUGGGAGGUGUGUGGGGGGGGUCCAGGAGGAGCUGCAAGUGGAAGGACUGGGAUAAGUGGGAGAGUCCAGCAGUGGCGUGGGGAUGGGGAGCAGCCUUGGGACAGAGAGGAGUGACAGCUGGGAGGAAGGGAUGGGGCCGGGUACAGGAGUAUGGGCAGCCCCUUGUCCCCUCCUGCAAGGAGGGAUGGAGGAACCAGCAGGGCACAAAGCAGCACGAGGCAGGGAGGAGCAGCAGCCCCACAGAACACAUACAUUAACAAUUUAAUAAGACAAAAACAUGCCUCUCAGCUGAGAUACAUCAGGGAGAGCUUUCCAGGAGUAAUAACAUGGCAGGCAGCCCCCAGCCAGCACACCAAUACCUUCAUACCACUAGGGAGAGGUGCACGCCUGGGAAGCAGGUUCAGCAGCACGAACCCUCCAUGGGGCCGGGGCAGGAGGGGUCUGGGGCUGCUGGGGCCAGGGUAUCCUGAGAGCCAUUUGUGGGGGCCCCAAAGUGUGCUUCAGCCCCAAAAGGCUGUGUGCUGCAGUGGGUUCAGUGCUGGGAGUGGACUGGGGGAGUGGGAACAUUCCCAGAGUAGUGCUAUAGGUCCUAAAAAGGGAAUUGUUGGAGUCUUUACCAAAGAAGGAAGGGCAGCAGUGGUGGGGGGGGGGGGGACAGACAACAGACUGCAAUACAGGUGUGGGGCUCAGUGUGUGCUUGCGGAACCCCCUGCCCCAGCACUGCCCAGUACAGACUGGGCUGGUCCCAGUGAGGAUGAGCCGGGGCUGUGCCUGGGGUGAGAGCUCAUGAUGGACACGGGUCAGCUGCACCAUUAUUAGAACUCAGUAAAUGCAGUUUUAACAACCAUCUGGCCCAUCUUUUAUAUGCAAUAACCAUCCCAUUACAACUGAAAUAAAAUCCACAUUGGAGGCACUUAAUUGCAUGAGCGGCCCUCAGCUCUUUCUCAUCUCAUAAAACACUUCCCUCGGGCUGUCUGCGGGCCUCCAGCCUCCCCUCCAGGCAGCACAGCUGCACGGGGGUUUGCUAUCAUCUGAUGUGGACAUGAGCCCACGUCGGGCCUGAGCAGGAGAGAAAUGCCACUUCUGGAGGGAUUUUAAGAGUCUCUCAGCCUGGCUCCCCUCCAGCCACGAACCCCACGGGACGGAAGCUCUCACCGCGGGCCCAGACGUGCUGCUCGCUGACUGCAGGCUGCGAGGUGAUGCGUGCUCUGCCAUGCAGAACAAAAGCCCUUUCUGGGACAGUGUCACAAUCAGACGCUCUGAGGCAGAACGCUUUUCCUCACAUUUUUCCUUGCAAAGCUUUGCAACGCAUUUUGGAGGAACUGUGUUUCCCGAGGGGAACAACAAGGAGUAGUGGGUUUGCUGCGCGUGCACCAGGUGAUGCGGCCCUGUCCAGCCUAGGGAUGAGGCCUGGGGCAGCAGCAGGUGUGGGGACACAAAUGAUCCCGCGCUGCCCGCCCCCGGCUCGAGGACAGAAGCAUGGUGCUGGUGGCUGUGCUCAGCCUCCUAAUGAGGCCAACUGCCAGGGGAUCUUCCCAGCAAGGCCCAAGCACAAGUUCCCGGUGCCCUCUGCAGGAGGAAGCGCGGCCCUUUCCCCCAGUUUGGAGGCCAAGUGCUGGCAUCUGCAGAGCAGAACUGGGGCUGGGGGCGCAGCAUGGCGUGAGGUGGCACCGUGUGACGCAGUGCAACGUGACAUGAUGCAGCAUGACACAACAUGGCACGACCUGGCAUGACGUGACAUGCCAUAACAUAACUCAACAAGCCAUGACAUGACAUGGAACGACACAUGACACUUUCCCGUCGCGGCCCCUUUAAGGCGCCGUGCCGCGCUGGGCGCCGCGGAAAGCCCGACCAAUCAGCGCAGCCCACAUC
rnacentral:lncRNA from 7 species